CGUUAGAUAGCUCAUCAGGUAGAGCAACUGACUCAUAAUCAGUGUGUAGCAGGUUCGAUUCCUGCUCUAACUC
rnacentral:tRNA from 1 species